rnacentral:rRNA from 1 species
CAGAGGGGGCGAGCGUUAUUCGGAAUUAUUGGGCGUAAAGGGCGCGUAGGCGGCAUGGCAAGUGGAAGGUGAAAUCCCUCGGCUUAACCGAGGAACUGCCCUCCAAACUGCUUUGCUUGAGGCCGGGAGAGGUGAGUGGAAUUCCCAGUGUAGCGGUGAAAUGCGUAGAUAUUGGGAGGAACACCAGUGGCGAAGGCGGCUCACUGGACCGGUUCUGACGCUGAUGCGCGAAAGCGUGGGGAGCAAACGGGAUUAGAUACCCCGGUAGUCCACGCCGUAAACGAUGAGUGCUUGGUGUAGCGGGUAUCGACCCCUGCUGUGCCGAAGUCAACACAUUAAGCACUCCGCCUGGGGAGUACGGUCGCAAGGCUG